rnacentral:lncRNA from 1 species
ACACUGCGUCCCCAUCAGCUCAAAGAAUACGCAUGGGGACAAGCCUGGGGGGCCGUCUGAGAGUCCCCCAACCCUGGAUCCCCACGGCAGCCCCCACUGUUGGGUUUUUCAGUGGCUGGUGUGCCCUGGGCUGGUCACCUCUGCAUUUUGCUCUGCUGGGAGUUUGCUCCUGGCCCUCCAACAGCGCCUCCUCUGUGAGGAGGAACUCCUGUUCCCGUGGCUCUGCUGGCUCUGGAGGCUGGAGUUCCCGUGCUGGGCCCUCCUGGGCGGGUUCUCUCUUGCUGCCGCCAGUACCCUGCCCCUCUCGUCCUCCUGGGUAGCCUGGGAGGAAUGGCAGAAGAAAGCAGUGAAGCCAGGUAGCAGUAGCCCGGCCACCCCACCAGGCUCUGCUGUAGGCUGGGCUCUCAAGGCAGCUGCUCCAGGAGGGGCCCCCUAGGAAGGGACUGCCACACUCCUGGGAGCGUUCCUGGCCCCCUCCAGUGCAAAUGACCCUGGGCCCCAAGGCUCCGAACACCCGCCCCUCUGCUCCAGGCUAGCUUGGCUGAGCCCGAUGCUUCUCAAGGUGAGGAGGGCGUCCUUGAAGCCUCCGGCCACCCCACACCAAGGAGCUUUCAGGGCAGGAAAUGUGAUCGGGCAGCUGAUUUAUCUCCUUACCUGGUCUUUGUUCACAGCCUGGCUCCGGCCCCCCACCCUGCUGCAGGGCCCGAGGACGUCUCCCCAGGGGUCCCCACCUCGGUCUCCUUGGGGGGACUGUGCUGAGCCCAGCUGCCUCUGUGAGAUGAAGAUAAGAAGGCGAAGACAUGAAGGGCCUGCCUGGGGGCAGUCUGGCUUUCUUGCAGGGGGGCUGCACCUGGUUCCCUCCUCCCUCUCGCUGGCAGCCUGCGGGGUGGUGAGGAUGAAGGGGCUGUGGGGCCGGGGUGCAGGGAUUAGAGGGAGGUGACUGCCAUCUCUUCCUCCUCAUCGUGUUUUUCACCUCUUAAGUCAACUUUAGAUUCUCGGACUCAGAGUUCUCUCCUGACGGUGGCAGGGUCCUCAGAUCACCGGUGCAGACAGGGCCAGACAGGGCCAAUGUGGGGACCCACUCAGCCUGUGGCCUCUGCAGGAGGGAGGUCGGAGGCCUCAGCAGCCACCCCGGCCACCUCCUGAAACAGUGAAUGUCCUUCAUUUUCAGCUGGCAAGCUCUGAUCUUACAACGAGGUAUGGAACUGUUCAGAAAACUUUCAGCAGACGUUCGAGGGAAAACAGCUCAGCUUCCCAUGCCCCCCACCUCUGCCAGGAGCGACCCCAUAUCCCCCAAACAGAAUUCUGGUAGCCCGGGACCACAGGGUCUUCCUGUGCCUCCCCUGCCAGCUCUGCAUGACUUUGUCACGUACUUGAGUGCUGGCUGAGAUGAUGCUACCGCUACCAAACAGGUGGGAGGCCAGCCCCAGCCCCAGCCCCAGCCCCACCGGGGCCGGAGCUCCCGGUGAAGAAGCGUCUGCCUGGUUCGCAGGUGUCCAGGACACACCAGUCGCCUGACUCCCGGUCAGGCAAACGCACACAUCAAGUUCUUGCAAGCCAGGGCUCUGCUGGCAUCUUCAAGAGGAGGGAGGGUCCUGGCCCUGACCACAGGGCUCCCUUAACAGGAGGAGUUACAAACUCGGCUUCCUGGGGGGCAUCGUGGGGUGUGCUGCCUGCCAGGAGACCCCACUCCUGGUCACGGGGUUCCGUCCCACACAGUGGCAGGAGCCAUGCAUGAUUCUUGGCUGAAGAAGAACCCGCACAGCUAUGUGGUCUGCCGCCCAGCAGGGAAGCCCCCACAUCAGCCCUAAGGGAACUUCCCAAAGCUCAGCAGGUGCCUCUUCCUGCCAUCCGCUAGGUCUUCUCUUGGCCCCUCUCCCAAGCCUUGACCCAUAGCUGACACUUCUAGAAAAGUCUUUACCGAGAAACGGACCGGCUGCAUGGGUGGUGAGGAGGGCAGUUGCCCAGGGCCUGGCAUCAGAGGGGCCUGUGGCUAAGGCUGUCCUGAAAUUCUUAAUCAUUUUACCUCUGAACUUGCGGGUUUUUGUUGUUGUUUUUUGAGGCAGAGUCUUGCUCUGUCACCCAGGCUGGAGUGCAGUGGUGCGAUCUUGGCUUACUGCAACUUCCGACUCCCAGGUUCAAGCGAUUCUCCUGCCUCAGCCUCCCGAGUAGCUGGGACUACAGAAGUGCACCACCACACCCGGUUAAUUUUUGUAUUUUUAGUAGAGACGGGGUUUCACCAUGUUGGCCAGGCUGAUCUCAAACUCCUGAUACACCCGCCUCGGCCUCUCAAAGCACUGGGAUUACAGGUGUGAGCCACCGCGCCCGGCCCUUUUCCUGCCUCCUAAACAAGUGGCCAGGAAUUCUCCUCCUGCACCGGGUCCCCAGAUUGUGUGGCAAGCCCUGCAGAUGGCACAGGGGACUGGUUCUUCCUCGUGGAAAGCCAGGCCCGGACACCUCUCGGGCAUCGCCUGUUGGGGUGACCCUCCCACACCCAGCCUGGAACCCUAGCCAGCUCAGCCUCCGUCCGCUGAGAAAUCAAGGUGACCUUGUGGCUCAGCCCUCAGGGGGCACUCACCACACAAGAGUUCCCUUUCAAGACCCCCUGUUCGGGGCUGGGGCCCCCAGGAACGGUUGGGGCACCUUCCUGGGGCCCUGUUUUUCCCCAGGAGCGGGGCCUGGGAGCUGAGGGCGUCUCAUCUCCCCACAGGCAUCUGCUGCUGCUCCUGGCUGCCACUCACCCCUGUGAGAUGCUGAGGGCAGGAUACCUGUCUGUGCGGGGCGUGGGAAAAAGGGAGAAAGCCUGGCAGAGGGUUGGGGGCUAAGAAGCAAAGGGCGUGGAAGGGCCACCGUGCACUUUUGAAGUCUCUACUUGCCAGUGGCCACCCCACCUCUCCCUGCCCUCAUCCAAGGACGGACAGGCCUGGCAGGUGGACCGGAGCUGUGGGGCAGAAGCAUCCCAGGCCUGGCCUCAGAGGAGGGAGGCCAUGGUGAAAGUGGAGGCUGUCUGCAUCCACCUCCCCAGCCUUUGUCACCGGGACCUCAGCCUGACCCCAGGCCCACCCCAGGCUGCUCACCGAGGUGGGUACCCUGCCCACCGCCAGCUCAGAUGCGGUGUGUGGACUCCCUUCUCUCUGGGGGUGAGCGGGAGUUCCCUCCCCUCCACAUCAGGAGCUGGGGGAGAGCUGGAGGGCCCUGGGAUCCCCUUGACCCUGGUCAUCAGCCCCAGCCCUGACAGGCCCUGCGUGUGCCAUGUGUGGCCUGGGUUUGGAGCUCAGCACCCUGCGGGAAUUCUAUUAAAUCUCCGAUUUUAUCUGAAAACUUCA